CAACUUUUAACAACGGAUCUCUUGGUUCUGGCAUCGAUGAAGAACGCAGCGAAAUGCGAUAAGUAGUGUGAAUUGCAGAAUUCAGUGAAUCAUCGAAUCUUUGAACGCACAUUGCGCCCUUUGGUAUUCCAAAGGGCAUGCCUGUUCGAGCGUCAU
rnacentral:rRNA from 5 species